rnacentral:rRNA from 1 species
CCAGACUCCUACGGGAGGCAGCAGUGAGGAAUAUUGGUCAAUGGGCGCGAGCCUGAACCAGCCAAGUCGCGUGAGGGAUGACGGUCCUACGGAUUGUAAACCUCUUUUGCCGGGGAGCAAGCGUGCGUUCGUGAACGCACGUCGAGAGUACCCGGAGAAAAAGCAUCGGCUAACUCCGUGCCAGCAGCCGCGGUAAUACGGAGGAUGCGAGCGUUAUCCGGAUUUAUUGGGUUUAAAGGGUGCGUAGGCGGGAUGCCAAGUCAGCGGUAAAAAUGCGGUGCUCAACGCCGUCGAGCCGUUGAAACUGGCAGUCUCGAGUUGGAGAGAAGUAUGCGGAAUGCGCGGUGUAGCGGUGAAGUGCAUAGAUAUCGCGCAGAACUCCGAUUGCGAAGGCAGCAUGCCGGCUCCACACUGACGCUGAGGCACGAAAGCGUGGGGAGCAAACAGGAUUAGAUACCCUUGUA